rnacentral:rRNA from 1 species
ACGGAGUUAGCCGGUGCUUAUUCAUAUAAUACCGUCAUUAUCUUCUUAUAUAAAAGGAGUUUACGCACCGAAAUGUGUCAUCCUCCACGCGGCGUUGCUGCAUCAGGCUUUCGCCCAUUGUGCAAUAUUCCCA